GCAUCUAGAGGACGCUAUUGCGUAGUUCACACGUUUCUUCGCUGGCGGAAACCGGAAAAAAACAACAUCACAACCGGGUCACCCGAGGUUUUCACGAAGUAAAUCUAUUUUCAAAGUUCUUUUGCCUCGUUUUGGGUAAAAACGACACUAUGCCCGUUACUUGUGCAUCAACGGGCUGCAACAAUAAGUUCAUAAAGGGGUCGGAGAUACGCUUUUAUCGGUUCCCACUCAGCAAACCUUCACUUUCCGCCAAAUGGGUUCAGAAUCUGGGGUUGAGAAACUUCAUCCCGACUGCCAACACCUGUCUGUGCUCAGAGCAUUUUUCCCCUGAUUGCUUCAGGGACUACAAUGGUAAACAGUUUCUGAGGGAGGAUGCCGUGCCAACAGUUUUCCCUAUUGUGCAAGACUUUUCAAAGAUUGAGUUACGAAAACGAGCAGCAAUGCCAUUACCCAAGGAUACCAGCAUCACAAAUCACAUGGGACCACAAGCAGAGAGGGACAAAGCGAGAGAGAUUUCCAACAUACGUAGAGAUAAAAGAGGCGGCUCAAGAGGUGGACGAGGUGGCCGUGGUGGAAAACAACAACUGUCUGACAGGCAAAGCCUCGGAGGCAAGAACAGAGUUUAUGACAGUAAAGGUCGACUAUUGUGCAAUGGCAAGGACUUGUGUGACUGUUUGGAUGUGGACUGCACGGGUUGCUUCUACCCCUGCUCUGAUUGCAGCUCACGCAAAUGUGGAUUUGAGUGCCGAUGUGACAGGAAAUGGCUUUACGAACAGAUGGAGGUGGAAGGCGGAGAGAUCAUCCGCAACAAGUUUGCUUUUUAGUAAUGUAAGGUAAAUUGUUUCUGCACUAAUUGGCCACAGUCUAAUGAGAUCCAAUGUAGCUUUUUUUUUUUUUUUUUUUAAAAAUUCUGCACAUAUAAGAAACUAAAAAAGGCACUGUGAGAGAAGUACACAUUGAAUACGUGUCGUAUAUUGGUUGUGGUUUACAGUGGUGUGGAACUGCUUUAUAUCAUACUCAGAGGUUUUUCAUUAUUUAAUAGGGCUGUAACGAUUCUGUAUUCAUCCAUCUAUUUUCUGGACCACUUAUCCUCAUUAGGAUUGCGGCUGUGCUUGGGCCUAUUCCGCUGACUGGACAAGAGGCGGGGUAGAACCUGAACUGGUCGCCAGGCAAUCUCAGGGAACACAUCGACAAACAAGCAUUUAUACUCACAUUUAUACAACUACAGGCAAUUUAUAGUCUUGAAUUAACCUACCAUGUUUUUGGAAUGUGGGAAGAAACUGGUGGAGAAAAUUCAGACGGCACGGGGAAAUCAUGCAAACUCCAAGCAGUCCUCAUGACUGUGUAUCACACCGAAAAUCAGGGUGGUGUUUUAAAAUUGGCAGGAUUGUGACAUGCCUAUCCAACAGUCUGCCAAUAGAUGCCACAAUUACUUUAGUUUUUGCUCAAGCUAUCAUUAAAGACAUUGGCCACUAAUAUGUGCAAGUGAGCGACAAUUAGCCAAGUCAUAGGUUGCAAUGCCAAUGUCAAAUAUAAUGCCAAAUAAUCAUGAUCAAAGUUAAUGAUCAGCUGUCAAAGGGAAAAUGAACAUUCCAUAAUAUGAAUACUAUUUGGCAAUAAUUAAUUGAAAAUUGAUGGAUAUGUAACACUAUUAAGUAAUAAUUAACACUAAGUAGAACACAGCAUUCUCAAAACUAUUUACAGUGCCACUCUGCAUGCUGGAAAUUCCCAUGACAAUACAACAUAUUUUAUUAUUUUAUUUAUUUCUCUUUGGUCAUAAAAUGUAAGCUCGGGUGUGUACCGGAAAUACUGAAAGUGGCUAUGGCAGUGGAAAAUUAAGUCAAUCACCCUUAUUUGUUUGUGACCACGAAAAAUGCUGAAAUAUUAAUUCAGUGCUGUGGAAGUGCCUAGAUGUGAGAUGCUUCAUUUACACCGUUAACCAGAGAUUGGUGGGCAUGCAGUGAUGUGACUCCUGGCCAGAGGGCAACAUGAAAUUAAAAGGAGUUUUGGACACCGUUCAUGGUAUCAUUUUGACCCCUCAGCCAGUAUCACCUGACCCAAGCUCCUUACCGAUUCCAGAUUCAGUCUUCCCAGGAUGUUUCCGGUCUACAAUUGUGUUUCUGGUAUCCUUUGACAGUUCUUUGGUCUUGGCCAUAAUUGAGUUUGGAGUGUGACUGUUUCAGAUUUUGGAGAGGUGUCUUUUAUACUAAUGAGUUCAAACAGAGGUAAGGAGUGGAGGACAAAGGAGCCUCUCAAAGAAGUAAUUACAGGUCUCAGAGAGGCAGAAAUCUUCGUUAUUUGUAGGCAACCAAAUACUUUUUUUCCCACCAAAAUUUGCUUGUAAAUUAUUAAAUAAUAUGACAAUGUAAUUGUAUUUCUUUUUUAAUUUUGUCUGUUAAGUGAGGUAUACUCAUGAAUAAAAUUAUGGGUCUCUCUUUAAGUGGGAGAACUUGCACAAUAGUGGCUGACUUAAUACUAUUUUACCCCACUGUAGCUACACAAGAGAGGCUGAGAAGUACAACUUUUUCAUUGGCUCUCAUUAAAUUGUGUAAAGUGCACCUGAUAUUGUUGCCUAUAACUGAUUGACUUGUUAUGAAAGGCUUCAUCAAAGGAUGCUCAAAACCAAAACUUUUUCCUUCCAACAAUUCAGCUUCACCCAGCUGUUGGCAGUAUGAAGGAAUCAGGACUGAUUAAUAUUAUUUUUUUUUAAAUACAAGAUGACAACAUGAACCAUUACUGCCUCAGUUACAGUAGAAGAGGAUGCAGUACAAUGUGGGUAUUUUAAUUAAUUUGGGUUUGGCUUCUUUUACUUUUUGGAACCCUUUAUAUUUACUUGUGUAAGAACUUUUACAUGUGUGCCAAUAUAUGUUAACAAACUUUGUCUCCACUUUUUGCGUUGAUAAUGGUGCUGUGACCUCACAGUAUUAAAAGUGAUUUUAAAAGCAAUCAUAGUGUGACUCUCUAAUGUGGACUUUGUAUGAAAGUGUCAAUUUCAUUUAAAAAAAACACAUUGGUUUUGUCGUAUGUGUUACUGGAAAAGGCCCCAUUUGACAGCUACUUCUCUUUGCAUCCGCUUCCUCCAUAUUGGCUAAGAAACCACACAGUUUCUUUUGAUUGGUUCCCUCCGUAUAGCAGACCCCCUUGUGAGAAUACACGUGUUUAAGUCAACAGCGCUGGCUGGGUAGUGGAGAGGGAAGAAAGAUAUAAUCACUAGAGAUGUAGAUAAGCUGAAGAUAUUUGAAUGGCCUGAUUUCAGGCACAAAGCGUCUGGAACUCAGGAG